GCCAUGUGUGCUUAACCCGCUGUGUUACCGCCUGCCCCCCAGGGGUCUAUUUCUUUCUCCCUUUUUUUUAGAGAGAAAAGAGAGAGAGGUGAGAGGAGAGACACCACAACAUCACUCCACCAUCCAUAGAAUUGCCCUGUGCUGUGAGGAUGCUCUGAAGUGAUGCCAGCACUUGAACCCAAGGCCUCAAACAUGGUAACAGAGGUGCAAGUGACACUGUGGCUUCACCCCAGCCCUCAAUAGGCACUGCAGUCUGGAUCCAACAAACAUUUAUUGAGCACCUGCUGUGUGCUAUGCACUAGCCUUGGUGCUGGGAUGGACACGAUGAAUAAAACACAGUCCCUGCCCUUGGCGAGCUUACAGACUAAGGACAGCCAGAGGACAGGUGCACGGCAACUAUAAUACAAGGCAGAGCAUGGUAAGUGCCAUGAGAAAGGUACAAAUAAAGUGCUAUGGUGGUUUAGCAGAGGAGAGACCCCAGUGGUUGGCAAAUCAGAGAGGGCUGCAUGAAAGAUGUGGCUUCUGUGUGGGUCUCGCAGGAAACAGGAGAGAGCAUUCCAGGGGAGGACAGCAAGAACAAAGGCACAGAGACGGGAAGACGGGGUGCCUUUCCAUGCAGGAAGUAAAUCACUUCUAGGUGGACAGCAGGGUGGGGGACACAGGAAGUAUGAAGUUUCACUGGGUCUGCAAUGUCAGAAUUAGGGCCUGUGUGUUAUUUUGUGGGCCAGGGGGUCAUUUAAGGGUUUGUGAAUGGCUGGAGGUGAAAAUGAGCUUGCAGGUUGAGGGUGGAGUGGAGGAUAGACAAGCAUGCAGGGGAACGUGGGAAAAGACUGCACAUUGCCCAGGUGACAAGCAGAGCUGGCAGGGGUGGGGGACUGAUGGGGAGCACCA